GACGAACGCUGGCGGCAUGCUUAACACAUGCAAGUCGAACGGAAAGGCCCUGCUUUUGUGGGGUGCUCGAGUGGCGAACGGGUGAGUAACACGUGAGUAACCUGCCCUUGACUUUGGGAUAACUUCAGGAAACUGGGGCUAAUACCGGAUAGGAGCUCCUGCUGCAUGGUGGGGGUUGGAAAGUUUCGGCGGUUGGGGAUGGACUCGCGGCUUAUCAGCUUGUUGGUGGGGUAGUGGCUUACCAAGGCUUUGACGGGUAGCCGGCCUGAGAGGGUGACCGGCCACAUUGGGGCUGAGAUACGGCCCAGACUCCUACGGGAGGCAGCAGUGGGGAAUAUUGCACAAUGGGCGGAAGCCUGAUGCAGCAACGCCGCGUGCGGGAUGACGGCCUUCGGGUUGUAAACCGCUUUCGCCUGUGACGAAGCGUGAGUGACGGUAAUGGGUAAAGAAGCACCGGCUAACUACGUG
rnacentral:rRNA from 1 species